CACGUAGGGUGCGAGCGUUGUCCGGAAUUAUUGGGCGUAAAGAGCUCGUAGGCGGUGUGUCGCGUCGGCCGUGAAAACCUGCAGCUUAACUGUGGGCUUGCGGUCGAUACGGGCAUCACUGGAGUUCGGCAGGGGAGACUGGAAUUCCUGGUGUAGCGGUGAAAUGCGCAGAUAUCAGGAGGAACACCAGUGGCGAAGGCGGCUCACUGGCCCGGUACUGACGCUGAGGUGCGAAAGCGUGGGGAGCAAACAGG
rnacentral:rRNA from 1 species